rnacentral:rRNA from 1 species
GGCCAGCAGCCGCGGUUAUAUGGAGGGGGUUAGCGUUGUUAGGAAUUACUGGGCGUGAAGCGCACGUAGGCGGAUUAGAAAGUUAGAGGUGAAAUCCCGGGGCUCAACCCCGGAACUGCCUUUAAAACUACUAGUCUAGAGUUCGAGAGAGGUGAGUGGAAUUCCGAGUGUAGAGGUGAAAUUCGUAGAUAUUCGGAGGAACACCAGUGGCGAAGGCGGCUCACUGGCUCGAUACUGACGCUGAGAUCCCUAACUGUGUGGAGCAAACCGGGUUAGAUG